ACGCUCGACACCUACGGGAGGCAGCAGUGGGGAAUAUUGCACAAUGGGGGAAACCCUGAUGCAGCGACGCCGCGUGAAGGAAGAAGUAUCUCGGUAUGUAAACUUCUAUCAGCAGGGAAGAAAAUGACGGUACCUGACUAAGAAGCCCCGGCCUAACUACGUGCUAGCAGCCGCGGUAAUCUGAGCGGGCUGGCAAGGC
rnacentral:rRNA from 1 species